UACGUAGGGUGCGAGCGUUAAUCGGAAUUACUGGGCGUAAAGCGUGCGCAGGCGGUUUUGUAAGCCAGAUGUGAAAUCCCCGGGCUCAACCUGGGAAUGGCAUUUGGGACUGCAAGGCUGGAGUGUGGCAGAGGAGACUGGAAUUCCCGGUGUAGCAGUGAAAUGCGUAGAUAUCGGGAGGAAUACCGAUGGCGAAGGCAGGUCGUCUGGGCUGACACUGACGCUCAUGCACGAAAGCGUGGGGAGCAAACAGG
rnacentral:rRNA from 1 species